rnacentral:pre_miRNA from 1 species
AAUAAGUGCAGCCGUGGAUAUCCGUACCCAACGUUUGACCGUCCAUCUUAUUUAAAAAAUUUGUGAAAAAUUUGAAAAUAUUUAGUCACACAUAAAGUACUAUUUAUGUUUUAUCAUCUAAUAGCAAUAAAAAUACUAAUCAUAAAAAAUUUUCAAAUAAGAUGAAUGAUCAAACGUUGAAUGUGAAUAGUGUAAAACUGCAGUUAUU